CUCAAAACAAAAACAUUUGUGACUCUGCACUAUUCAGAAAUGAUGGCCAAAUUCAUUGUACUGACCAUUGUAGCAAUGCUGGUGGCAGCGUGUGCGGCUUCUCCUCUGUCUAAAGUCAAACCUGUGAACACAAAGAGGUCAGCAAUUUCCCCAGAGAGCUCACCCGAGGCUCAUGAGACCCCGCUGGCUCGAGUAAGGCGUUCAGUGGGGUUAUCGGAGGAUCAGCGCGAGCUCAUGUCCCGUCAGCUCCUGCAGGCACUAUCAGAAAUCAUCCAACGAGAGGACUGCCUCUCAGAUUAUCAAGGCUGGGUAGAUUUUGGGCGCCGGAGUUCAAACUGAUAUUCACUAAACUAUGUAAAAACACUGUACUGUGAUACUCUGUACUUUAACAUUAAAUAUAUUUGCAAG
rnacentral:lncRNA from 1 species